UACGGGGGGGGGCAAGCGUUGUUCGGAAUUACUGGGCGUAAAGGGCUCGUAGGCGGCCAACUAAGUCAGACGUGAAAUCCCUCAGCUUAACUGGGGACUGCGUCUGAUACUGGAUGGCUUGGAUUCGGGAGAGGAAUGCGGAAUUCCAGGUGUAGCGGUGAAAUGCGUAGAUAUCUGGAGGAACACCGGUGGCGAAGGCGGCAUUCUGGACCGAUAUUGACGCUGAGGAGCGAAAGCCAGGGGAGCAAAGCGGG
rnacentral:rRNA from 1 species